rnacentral:rRNA from 1 species
GAUGAACGCUGGCGGCGUGCCUAAUACAUGCAAGUCGAGCGAACAGACGAGGAGCUUGCUCCUCUGACGUUAGCGGCGGACGGGUGAGUAACACGUGGAUAACCUACCUAUAAGACUGGGAUAACUUCGGGAAACCGGAGCUAAUACCGGAUAAUAUAUUGAACCGCAUGGUUCAAUAGUGAAAGACGGUUUUGCUGUCACUUAUAGAUGGAUCCGCGCCGCAUUAGCUAGUUGGUAAGGUAACGGCUUACCAAGGCAACGAUGCGUAGCCGACCUGAGAGGGUGAUCGGCCACCCUGGAACUGAGACACGGUCCAGACUCCUACGGGAGGCAGCAGUAGGGAAUCUUCCGCAAUGGGCGGGAGCCUGACGGAGCAACGCCGCGUGAGUGAUGAAGGUCUUCGGUUCGGAAAACUCUGUUAUUAGGUAAGAACAAAUGUGUAAGUAACUAUGCACGUCUUGACGGUACCUAAUCAGAAAGCAACGGCUAACUACGUG